CUGUGUCAGUGAUCUGCAGAGCCUGGGCUGCAACAACAGAGGGAAGACACUCAGGCAGCCGACUGUUAUCAGCAUCGAACAGAGGCAGAGCACCACACCGGUGACGUUUGACAACAACCCCUUCUUCCAGGAAUCUUGGCCCACCACCGUUCCUAGGGUGGAACUCUGCCUCCAGCCUUGGCUCUAUUCGGAGGACCAAGGCAGAGAGCAAACUCUUGCUGCCGCCUCGCCAGCUCCAGCUCCUUCAGAGCUGCCUCUACACACACCUUGUGUAACAGAACCGUCAGUUCAAGGACAUGAGCUAAAGCCCACUGAAAUCAAUGAGAGUCUUUCUAGAUCUUCAAUGGUUUUGAAUCUGGCCCUCCACUGAACAGACAGCACAAGGAAUGACAAGAGACCAUGGUGGAUGAAAGUAGGGGCAGGGAGAGAAAACGCUCAAAUGUUUUCUCAUUUUUAUGGCUGCAGUGCAAGGGUCAAAGAACCCUGAGAAGUGCCUCAGCCACGUCUCUCUCCUCCUGGCUCCCCUGCAGGGGCAGUCCCCAGUUUCUGUGGUUGGCACGAACAUCUUUUUCCUGCAAGAGGCUAAGAAGAUCAUCACCCCAUUUGUUUUUCACUCUCUGGUCCCAGGAGUCAAGCAAGAAUCCAAGCAACUGGGGAGGGGGGAGAGUAAGCAGCUUCAUGCUGGUUCUUGUGAAAUUUUCUGGGCUAUAAGAAGAUGUAAAUUAUGUGUAAGAUUCUUCACAGCUGGUGGCAAGUGAGGGAUAAUCAGCUAAUAAGUCCAACCAGGGGCUGCUGCGCACGUUUGUGCUUUGCCAGAAUGAGUUUUUAAAAAUACAAUCAAGUGCUCACCAUCAGCAAGGACAAACACUGAGCUACACGAGGGGCUUGGACGACAAACCCUCAGCCAAACCCUGAGAGGGAAAAUAGCUUGUAAGUGGAACUACUGGUCCUAGUCGCAGGAGUUUAAUGAAUUGAGUAGCAUGCAAGGCCUCAUGGCAAGAACUGAGGGCAGGGGAAAACUCUUGCUGUCUCUCCACACAGGCUCCUGGCUGCUCAAGGCAAUGCUUUUGCCUCUUCCAGCAAGCUGCAGUGCUGGGUGCAUGUGAUGCCUUACCAAGAGGAGCUAGGAGGGAAUGAAGACCCCAGGAUUCAAAGCCUGCUCUGAAGACCCAACUGCUGUGGUCUGCAACAGGUGGUGAAGACCCUAUUUUCUUUCCUGAGAGACAGACACAACUGCUCCAAGGCCUCCAUUCCCCAUUGCAGUACUGGAGUAAGAAUACAUUCCUGGGAUGCUGCAAGACCUAGACAGGGCAUAAAUAGAAAUGGAUCCAACCCACAAACUCAGAUCCAAGUUUCCUCAGAGUGGAGAGGUGCUUGGAUUUGGGAUGUGACGGAUAGUCCAGCCUUAUGUUUACCUAGGGCCCAACCUCAAGCUUGGGUCUAGGUUCAGCUCCAUAUUCUAAGAGGGGACCUGGAAUUUGGAUUCAGACCCAUCUGUGGCAGUCUGAGAGCCUUAGGAGAUAAGUGCUGUAUAGAAAUGCAAAAGCGCUGGCUCCUGCUCUCUUCUGACAGUUCCAUUCUCACGAUGUGUUAGUCACGAACCCUGGAAAAUUCAAAUACUAAGGAUGGAGGAUGCUUGGGGAUGGCGGGAAGACGCAUUUUCUGUAUGCGAUAACUCAGCAGCCACACGCGCAGGUGGCACAUUCGCAGAGGAGAUGGAAAGCGAGACCAACAGAAGCUCAAAGAGCAGGAAAAUAAAAGCAAGUGGAUGUGUAACACUGUAUUUAUUUCCUACUGUGCCUGGCGGGGACCAGGGUCUCUGAGGGGUGAGCCAGUCCCUGUGGAUUAGGAGAGCUUCACUGAGUUAUUAUAUAUAACACUGCAACUCUCACCAGUGCAAUGUCCCUCACGUUUAUUCAGCUUCCUUGCCUGUGCUGCCCUCUCUCUCUACAUGCCCUUGGAGUAGCUUUAUUUAUUUGGGCCCAUCUAACCCGUAUCACUAGUCUGGCUUGUGCCUCAGUAACAGCAACAUUGUUAGUACAGUUCAUCUGCAAGGCCAAGUUCUGCAUUCAGUUACCCUUGUGCCAAUGCUCAGAUAUCAAUGGACUGGCCCGGAUUCGACUUCAGGACAAAUGAGCAGACAAUGAAGUUUGCCUGUUAGUAAUUGAGGAUGGAAUUGACCUGCAGGGGUCUUAAUUAGUGAUGAUGAUGCUUGAGCCAGAAUGAACUCCACCUCUGAUCACAAGUGGAGGUUUCAGAUUGGUGAUUGUCAUUUUUUUAAACUUGUAAACCAGGUAGGGUGGAAUUGGAAAUCAGUGAUCAGCUCUGGACAGCAGCAUCCAACCAACAAGCAGAAGGCAGAAGAGGGACACAGAGGAGACCAGUGUGCUAGCCAACAAGAUUAAACACGAGGAGAGAAAUUAAGUGGUUUAUUAAACUUCUGUAGACACCGUGAAAGGAAAUCCACUAGAAUAGAUACUUGAACACAUCAUUAAAAGUCUUCUAUGUAGCAGCAUUCACUGUCCCCUGGGUUUAAUGGAACACGGCGAAUCGUCAAAGGUGCUUAAGAGACAGUUGCUAUAGACCUACACGCAGGUGAGUAAAUCCUAAAUGAACAGAGGGUGUUAAAACCAAUAUGCAGGUUUCAUAAUUGUGAAAAAAGCCAAGUGGCUGGAAGGGGUUCAUGGUUUUGACUUUCUAUUGUGCAUUAGUUAAAUAAAAAGGUACUAAUCAGU